GACGAACGCUGGCGGCGUGCUUAACACAUGCAAGUCGAACGGAAAGGCCCUGCUUUUGUGGGGUGCUCGAGUGGCGAACGGGUGAGUAACACGUGAGUAACCUGCCCUUGACUUUGGGAUAACUUCAGGAAACUGGGGCUAUACCGGAUAGGAGCUCCUGCUGCAUGGUGGGGGUUGUAAAGUUUCGGCGGUUGGGGAUGGACUCGCGGCGUAUCAGCUUGUUGGUGGGGUAGUGGCUUACCAAGGCUUUGACGGGUAGCCGGCCUGAGAGGGUGACCGGCCACAUUGGGACUGAGAUACGGCCCAGACUCCUACGGGAGGCAGCAGUGGGGAAUAUUGCACAAUGGGCGGAAGCCUGAUGCAGCAACGCCGCGUGCGGGAUGACGGCCUUCGGGUUGUAAACCGCUUUCGCCUGUGACGAAGCGUGAGUGACGGUAAUGGGUAAAGAAGCACCGGCUAACUACGUG
rnacentral:rRNA from 1 species